AUUGAACGCUGGCGGCAGGCCUAACACAUGCAAGUCGAGCGGAUGAAGGGAGCUUGCUCCUGGAUUCAGCGGCGGGCGGGUGAGUAAUGCCUAGGAAUCUGCCUGGUAGUGGGGGAUAACGUCCGGAAACGGGCGCUAAUACCGCAUACGUCCUGAGGGAGAAAGUGGGGGAUCUUCGGACCUCACGCUAUCAGAUGAGCCUAGGUCGGAUUAGCUAGUUGGUGGGGUAAAGGCCUACCAAGGCGACGAUCCGUAACUGGUCUGAGAGGAUGAUCAGUCACACUGGAACUGAGACACGGUCCAGACUCCUACGGGAGGCAGCAGUGGGGAAUAUUGGACAAUGGGCGAAAGCCUGAUCCAGCCAUACCGCGUGUGUGAAGAAGGUCUUCGGAUUGUAAAGCACUUUAAGUUGGGAGGAAGGGCAGUAAGUUAAUACCUUGCUGUUUUGACGUUACCAACAGAAUAAGCACCGGCUAACUUCGUG
rnacentral:rRNA from 1 species